AACAUGUAUACACAUACUGACGUACAUAUAUAUUCCUCUCAAAUCUCUCUGUCUCAGACUGUUUAUCUUAGAGACGACAAGUAGAUUCCUUCUUAUUUACUUUACCAGCAUCCAAUAAUUGUCAUAUUAUUUCUCGAGAAACAAGAUUCUUGUUUACUUCCCGACAAAAUACAAUCUCGAUUUCAUCUCUGCUUUUAUCUGUACUUCACUGAGCUUGUUCUUUUCUGCUUUUAAAGUUGGAAUCUCAUGUGAGAUCAAGAGCUUAUAGACAAGGUCAACGGAAGAAGUAGAAGACUUAAGCAUUGUUGUUAAAUAUGGAUGGGAAAGUGUUGCAAAAUUUCCAGAAGAGCUUUGUUCAGGUUCAAGAUAUUCUCGAUCAAAACCGGCUUCUGAUCAACGAGAUCAACCAGAACCACGAGUCAAAACAAGCAGAUCACUUAGCCAGAUCGGUUGAUGCUUCACCAGAAGGAGAAUCCACUGGGACCUUGAGAUCUGAUGGGAAGGCUAAUAACCAGAAGAGAUUUAGAUGCGAGUAAUGUACCAAAGAAUGAUCAAUCUUUGUGUUCUGUAGAUUCAGUGCUAAUGUGAGUGUGGAGCUA